AGCGAACGCUGGCGGCAGGCUUAACACAUGCAAGUCGAGCGGGCCCUUCGGGGUCAGCGGCAGACGGGGGAGGAACACGUGGGAACGUACCGUUUGGCUCUGAAUAACGCUGUGAAACGAGGGCUAAUACCGGAAACGUCCUGUUGGGGAAAGGCUUGCUGCCGGAGGGAAGGCCCGCGUCUGAUUCGCUUGGUGGGGGGGUAAUGGCCGACGAAGGCUACGAUCGUUAGCGGGUAAGUGAGGAUGAACCGCGACACUGGGGCGGUGACACGGUCCAGACUACUGCGGGAGGCAGCAGAGGGGGAUAUUGCAAUAUCGGCGCAAGGAUGAUCCAGCCCUGCCGGGUGAGUGAUGAAGGCGUUAGAGUAGUACAGCUCUUUUAUCCGGGACGAUAAUGACGGUACCCGAAGAAUAAGCCCCGGCUAACUUCGUG
rnacentral:rRNA from 1 species